AAGUACACAGAUCGCGAAAAAUACCUGAAAAAUGAUUGUAUGUUGAAUAAAAUUGUGGAACGAGUUGAAAAAUGAUUGAAACAACACUUUUACAAUCAUACAACUAUGAUGUGUCAUCUGGUUUUCUUGCAUCGUAGAUACUCUAUCAUUCAAAA